UACAGGGGGGGCAAGCGUUGUUCGGAAUUACUGGGCGUAAAGGGCGCGUAGGCGGCCGCCUAAGUCAGACGUGAAAUCCCUCGGCUCAACCGGGGAACUGCGUCUGAUACUGGGUGGCUUGAAUUCGGGAGAGGGAUGCGGAAUUCCAGGUGUAGCGGUGAAAUGCGUAGAUAUCUGGAGGAACACCGGUGGCGAAGGCGGCAUCCUGGACCGAGAUUGACGCUGAGACGCGAAAGCGUGGGGAGCGAACAGG
rnacentral:rRNA from 1 species